AUUAUUUCCUGGACGGGGUUACUGGGUGAACAACAAAACUCAUGGCCUAGUUUAUCGAUCUCCAUUGCACUUUGGGAGGUGUACUCGAAGGUCUCCCCAAAAUUGUAGUCUAUGUCAUAAUUUGUUUCAGUGGGGGCCUGUGUUCGUGCUGUCCCUCU